UACGUAGGGACCAAGCGUUGUCCGGAAUCAUUGGGCGUAAAGAGCGUGUAGGCGGCUUGUUAAGUCUUGCGUGAAAUCUCGGGGCUCAACCCCGAGCGGUCGUGAGAAACUGGCAGGCUAGAGUGCGGGAGAGGAGAGUGGAAUUCCUGGUGUAGCGGUGAAAUGCGCAGAUAUCAGGAGGAACACCAAUAGCGAAGGCAGCUCGCUGGGACGGUACUGACGCUGAGGCGCGAAAGCGUGGGGAGCGAACAGG
rnacentral:rRNA from 1 species